UCUGGAAAUUUCCAGAGAGAGAGAGAAAGGGAGUUCUUGAGAAAAAUCCCAAAUCCGACCAAAAUUCAAGUCCCGAAAUCCGAAGCUCAUGAAGAGAAAAUUGUUGUACGUCGCGUUGGCUUCAAUUUGAGCUAGAAAUCAACCAAUAAGGAGAAGAUUUUAUGUGGUGCUGCAAAUUUAAGGUUGAGACAAUAUUGGACAACAUAUACGUAUAAACGCUAAAGGUACAGAUACUUAUUUUGGAGAGCCGCCAACUUAGGAUUCUACUCAACGAGUUUGAAGUGCUCCAUUGUCUCGGAGCCCAAACUUUGGGUACUAAUCCUUAUAAUGUAUAUAUUUGUGUAUUUAGGGGUACGAUGGGGCCCUGUCCCGUCAUAUGCUAUUGUUAAUUCUCUUAGAGGUCUGUAGACAUAUGAGUGGGUUGUAUGUAGAUGUUGUCUGGUGUACUAGUAUGACAUAUGUUUUUGGACAUUUACAUUCGGAGUGAAAGCCUUGUCGGCUUACGUAUUAUGUUAUCUUAUUUUUGACAAUUAAGACUCCCCAAGAAAUAGCUAAUUUU